GGGUUGGGGCCGUGCUGGGUGGGGUGGGGUGGGGGGCGGAGGGGCCGCGCUGCUGGCGGCGUGACAGCGAUAGGGACUGGCUGUGCUGCCGACUCCGCGCCGGCAGGAGGAGGAGGCGGCGGAGGCUGGCUCCUUACUCAGCCUGCAGGCUGUUACUGCUGCUGCUGCUCAGCCUCUGCCUGGUGCUGCCGGGGAGCCUCUGCGGCCAAACCCCACUCUCGAGUGGCAGACAGAUUUGGAGUGAAUCACAUCAAAACUUUACCUCAGCCCUACUCCAUGAUUUCAGCCUGUAUCCUAAGAAUAUGAACCGGGCUGCAGACUUCUCAUAGUGCCCAGAUUGUGUACCUGUUGCCCCUCGGUGUUUUGAAACUUCUUCGGAGUUCGUCAGUGCAAGGAGGCCAGCAUCCUCAUCCCAGGACAUAGUGAUCUGCAGGAGGUCUCUACUGAUCUCAUCUGGUCUGGUCAAGACUUGGCUGGACUCAGCCGAAUUCAGCUGGGCUUUGCUCCAGGACACAGCUCACAAAGCCAAAGAGUUGAUUUGAGGACACAGGCCACCAGGACUGAUACCAGCCAUGAAGAGUAUCCAGGAGCUGUUAUAGAGGCAGCACAUCCCCAAGCAGCCAGCACGGCACCACCAAGCUCCUUCCCUGGGAACUACACUCAGCAUCUCAACAUCCAGCCACCACAGUUUUGAACUGUGUCUGUGAGCACCCGUGCUGCAUCUCGAUUUAUUUUGUGCAUCUGUUAGCAAGAUGUGUCCUAAGGUAAUUGCUUCUUUGCUUUACACGAUCUUGGCUUACAAAUGUUUUCCUGGGAAUGCUCUACUUUCAGAUAGGAGGGAAACCGGUAGAUGCUUCACUCCACUCUCUUCCUCCAUCGUCACAUGGCCUUCUUCCUUACCCGUGUCUCUGCGUCUGAUUCUCCUUCUCCUUCCUCUUAGGAGGACACCAGUCAUUGGAUUUAGGGCCGCCCCCCAAUCUAGAAUGACCUCAUCUUAACUAAUUACGUCUGCAAAGAGCCUAUUUCCAAAUAAGGUCACAUUCUGAGGUUCUGGGUGGACAUGAACUUUGGGAGGACACUACUAAACCCAGUGCAGUUCCUCUGUUUAAUACUAGAAAACUAGAGGUAUUAUUAGGCAGACUAUGCUCAAAAGAGAGCUUCAGGCAAAAAUUCAGAGAGGGCAUCGUUUAAACCUUGAGGGGAACAGGUUGGGAAGACUUGGGGUAGAAGGUAAGACUGAACCUCUGCUUAGGUAUGUCAUACAUCUGUGACAGUUUCGGAGCUGCAAAAGAACACGGUUGAGCGCUGUUGCUCUAGGUCAUGUGAAGGUGAGCAUUGCUUACUUUGAAUAAAACUCUCAAGCCAUUUUAGACGCUCACACCAUGAGGUACCAUUUUCCUUCCACUGGUUUCUCUGUCAGAGCCUUUUGUGAUGUGCUUCUGUCCUGAUGAGCCCCUCACAGGAGGUGGGGAGCCCUGGAUAUCACCUCCCUAGUACCUGCUGUCCUCUGGUGACUAAUUUCUGGAGGAGUGUAUUUCAGAAGUUUGGGAAAACAAAUGUGCUAUGUGAGUGUUGGCAAGAAUACUUUUGAAUGUCUACAAACUGGCUAUUUCAAAAUCAAGCCUGUGUGUGGACAAGACAAAGCUUGAAGUCCUUGGCUAAGACAUCAUGGGUGCCAAGUUCAAAAGUAGAAGACACCGCUUCUCGAGCUAGUUGAUCCAAAUACAAAACAGAAUGUAAAAUGUUGUUACUAUAUUAAGUCUCACUGUCUCAAAUUUUCUUUAACAUGCUUGGGCUCUGGGGUCAGGCAGACCCGAUUCAAAUCCCAUUUCUGCUCCCCAGUAGUGAUGAGACCUUGAUGUGUACCUGCUCUGAGCUUCAGUUUGAAAAUCUACGGAAUGGUCCUAAUACACCUGUGCGAAGACCUGCCAUGAGGAUUAAAUGACAGAUGUCCCUUGCCCUACUCCUGAUUCUGUCUGUAGUCUUUCCUUAUCGUCUUGAAGUCAGUAGCAUUUAUUGCCUCAGGGGAAGAGUGAUAAGGCAGAAAAACCAGAAAACUACUUAGGACUGGGACACCGGGUUAAUACUAUGAGCAGUCAUGGUGGGAAAACAGACAUGGACAGCCCAAAGAAGACAGCAGUGGAGCAUCUCCAUGACCAGUAGGUACAGAUUGGGUGUCUUCCUCCAGCAGCGGGCCUGCGAAACAACUCCAAACGUGGUGCGGGCAGUGGGAGACGUCCAAAGAAUUCUCAGACAGGCUGUGCGGCCAGGCUCGGGCUUCACACCCUGGGGAGCCACGCACCACCCCAGGAACGACCAGGACAAGUGCCACUUAAGGGACGCGCCCAGCAGGCCCCUCCGCUGCACAGGAAAAGUGGUCCAUAAUGGUGCAACCCACGAAUGAGGCUGGUGUGGAUUCAAUGGGACCCAGUAGGACCUCUCACAGGCUGAGUGAGUGAAUCCGUUUGAACCACUUAGCACAAUGUCUUGCCUACAGUGAGUGUUCUAUUCAUGUUAGUCAUUGUUAUAUUUCCAGCCCUCUAGAAAUAUGUUUGCUAGGAGUUUGGUUUAGUGAUCUGAUGACACAGAAAGUUGGCAGCCCCCUCAGAUCCCUUGUGGAAUGAGAAAGGGUAUAAAUAAGUGCAAGUAAACAAGAAUGUGGCUUGGGUACUUGCUGUUGUAGGCUCUUUGAGGGUGUAGGUGUUUGGGUAGGUAACUAAGAAUGCUGCCUUUCUUCUCGUGAAUUAACAGUUUAUUGUCUGGGAUGUGAGAAGGUGGAAGAAACUACUCAAGCGUACAAGUUUUUGGUGCAGCAGAAUGAAGAAACGCCAUACUCUUUGAGAUGGAGCAAAUAUAAGAAACUUAAAUUUUUGCAGAAUUAGGAAUGGCUCACAGAUCCAGUCUGAAGAUACCAAACUUCCAGCUAAUUCUUUACAUUUUAUAAUAUACCCCUGUGCUUUGGAAUAACUCUCUCCAGGAAUUUUAUAGCCAGCCCCUGCAGACCCAAACGCAGUGAGCGUGUUCUGCAUGCUGGGCUGGGCCGAAGGACAAUGGUAAGGGCCGCCAGCUCUGUCUUUGACAUUUCAUAGCCACUGUCUGCCCCAUCCGCAUCCUCUCCCCUGCAGCUCGUGUUACCGGCCUGCUACCUCCGUCACUCAGGAAGAUGACAAAAGGCAUUUAUCCUAAAGUAUUAGUGACGUAAGCAUUACUUCCUCAGGAGGAUUUGUAUUUUAAAAGCGAACCUAGAAAGUGAAAAAGAAAAUUACAGGACAGUACGUAAGGCUGUGUUAGGGGUCUGUUAAUUCCAAGAAAUAGAAACUCACUCAAGUUAAAAAAAAAAAAAAAGGAAAGGAAAACAAGAAAGAAAGAAAAAAACUUACUAGAAAGCUGUAAUCUGCAUGAAACUUGAUUGCAGGUAGUGUGGUGUGGCCUCAAGGAACUGAAAAGUUCUCAGGCAAUUAUUCUCUUCAACUUUUUUUUUUUUGUAAUUACCCCCCCUCCAACUCUUUUUCACUCUCUGGGGUGUCCUGGUCUCUCGUCUCUACUGCCUGUGUCUACCUCAGUCUUUUCUCUCAGCAGACAGCUUUCAGUCAUCAGCUUGCGUGUGACCCCGCCAUGGCUGCCCUGAAAUGGUGGCCUCAGAGAGAUGGUGGGUUUUUUUGUUUUGUUUUUUUUGGCCACUCCGUGGAGCUUGUGGGAUCUUAGUUCCCCAACCAGGGAUUGAACCCGGGCCCUUGGCAGUGAAAGUACGGAGUCCUAACCACUGGACCACCAGGGAAUUCCCAGAGAGAUGGUGUUUUAGAAGUGGAAGUAGAGACCUUGCCAGAGACCCUUGUCAUCCCACAUGAACAUGCAGAAGGCCUAGCCAGUCACUGCACGCGUUUUGUAGGCGUGGAUGUCCAUUCCCUCCUACGCUCGAAGGCAAAGUUGAUCUACGUAUCUGUCCACCCUUCUCUCCUCCACUUCACAAUGUCCCUUACGGUGCUGAACUGUGUUCCCCCUUUUCCCACCGCAAUCACCCCUUAUGCAACUACCUGAGAGCUCUUUCUAAAAUGCAAAGCAAGCCCACCCCUUAGCUGUGUAAAUCCUUUUCCGGCUCUCUGACCAAGGCAGGGAGACUCCCUCCCCCUGGGGCCACUUCCUUUAUUUUCAGCCCUGCCUUUUGCCUCCUCCCUUUCCCCAGAUCCAGCCUCCAAGAAGCUUCUUCUCCCUGAGAUGCCCUGCCCCCUCUUUGCCCACCUAGCAAACUCCUACUUUCCCUUCAAUGCCCUGCUCAAAGCCACCUCCUCUGUGAAGCCUUCCUUGAUUAUCCACAGGCACAGGCCUUUUUUCUUUCUUUUCCUGUGAUCCUUUGUUUACCCAUCUCUGCCAGCAGAUCUGUCUUCUCUACCAGAGCAGGAACCCUUUCAGGGCAGGGAUUAGGCUUUAUUUGUGUCUGUACUAAGCCCAGAGCCCAGCAUCAACUAGGUUUUCAGUGUAAGGUAGUUGCAAGGCUGUGAAGCACUGGUGCUACCCACCUGGGUUCAAAGCCAGGCUCUGCAACCUACUGUGACUUAACAUCUUCAUGCCUCAGUUUCCCUACCUGUAAAAAGGGGAUAAUGAUACUUCCUAUCUCACACAUUUUUGCUGAAAUUUAAAUGAGGGAACAUAUGCAAAGUGUUUGUUACUCAUGUAUGAAUUAUUAUUUUCUUCAUUAUUUCUGAAUAAGGUGUUCAGCAGGAGGGUGGCACACAGAGCCUUGCAACAACUCAAGAUUUUGUUUAGAAAAGACUAUUGCCCGGAGACAUGCAUGCUGAUAUUACUUCAAAAUAUUUUGUGGCAAUGGCACACUGGCCUGUCGUCUUCGUGGAGAGAUUCAGGAAAGUUACAAAAUACCAUCUCUUUCCUGGAAGGAUCUUGCCUAUUUCCUUACCUCUUGUCCAUUUGCAAGGAGCACAUUUAAUAACCCAGACAAAGUGUCAGAAGAAAAUUGGCUGGAAAGGGUUAAUCCCGGAGCCUUGGAAGGAAUUAGGCCCUGGGGAAAGAUGGGUUUCUAGGGAUGGUAGAGAAUAAGGCUUUCCUGCAUCCAUCCCAGGCGCUGGGAGGCAUCGCCAUGGUGAUGCAGAGUGUGGGUCCACUUUGCAUUUAUGUGGGGCUUUGUAUUUCUUCAAUUCUGGUGAGGUUCAGUUGAAAUACAUUAUGGAGAAAAGAGGCACAGAGAAAGGUAAAUGCUUUGCUCAGCCAGGGUGGUAUGGCAAGUUACUGGAAAGGCGGGCACUAGACCCCUGAUUCAUUCAAUAACAAGUAUCUGUGGAGCCUGCUCUGUGCCAGGCCCAAUUCCAGGUAUGGAGGACUCAGCAGAAAGCAAGGUAGAGUCUCUGACCUAACAGGGCUGCAGGCAAUAAUCAAGGAAGCCAAUAUCUGGCAUAUUUCUUUUUUUUCCUUUUUUGAUGUGGACUAUUUUUAAAGUCUUUAUUGAAUUUGUUACAAUAUUUCUUCUGUUUUAUGUUUUGGUGUU